rnacentral:rRNA from 1 species
GAUAUAUGGUCAAGUGAAUAAGGGCAUACGGUGGAUGCCUUGGCGGAAACAGGCGAUGAAGGACGUGGGUACCUGCGAAAAGCCUCGGGGAGCUGGUAAACGAGCGGUGAUCCGGGGAUGUCCGAAUGGGGAAACCCAACCCGAGGGAUCGGGUUAUUGCCACUGGAAUACAUAAGGUGGCAAGGCGAACGCGGUGAACUGAAACAUCUCAGUAGCUGCAGGAACAGAAACCAACCGAGAUUCCCCCAGUAGCGGCGAGCGAACGGGGAGGAGCCAUCACGAUGUAGCCACGGACUUAGGAGAACGCUCUGGGAAGGGCGGCCGUAGUGGGUGAGAGCCCCGUAUCCGAAAAGUUGGUGGUGGAACUAGGCGUGAGACAAGUAGGGCGGGACACGUGGAAUCCUGUCUGAAGAUGGGGGGACCAUCCUCCAAGGCUAAAUACUCGUUUCCGACCGAUAGUGAACCAGUACCGUGAGGGAAAGGCGAAAAGAACCCCGGAGAGGGGAGUGAAAUAGAUCCUGAAACCGUAUGCCUACAAGCAGUGGGAGCCCCUACGGGGGUGACUGCGUACCUUUUGUAUCAUGGGUCAGCGACUUACUUUCUGUGGCGAGCUUAACCGAAGAGGGGAGGCGUAGGGAAACCGAGUCUGAAUAGGGCGACAGUCGCAGGGAGUAGACCCGAAACCGGACGAUCUAUCCAUGGUCAGGAUGAAGGUGGGGUAAUGCCCACUGGAGGUCCGAACCCACGCCCGUUGAAAAGGUCGGGGAUGAACUGUGGAUAGGAGUGAAAGGCUAAACAAGUCCGGAGAUAGCUGGUUCUCCCCGAAAGCUAUUGAGGUAGCGCGUCGCGUAGUACUGCCGGGGGUAGAGCACUGUUACGGCUAGGGGGCUGUCACGGCUUACCAACCCGUUGCAAACUCCGAAUACCGGCACGUAGCGCGCGGCAGACAGACGGCGGGUGCUAACGUCCGUCGUCAAGAGGGAUGAAAACCCAGACCGCCAGCUAAGGUCCCCAAAUAUGGCUCAGUGGGAAACGAUGUGGGAAGGCACAGACAGCUAGGAGGUUGGCUUAGAAGCAGCCAUCCUUUAAAGAAAGCGUAAUAGCUCACUAGUCGAGUCGGCCUGCGCGGAAGAUUUAACGGGGCUCAAGCCAUAUACCGAAGCUGCGGGUGUGUUCUUCGGAACGCGCGGUAGGGGAGCGUUCGGUAAGCCGGUGAAGGUGUGUCGGAAGGCAUGCUGGAGGUAUCCGAAGUGCGAAUGCUGAC